GCCAGACUCACAGCUCAGUGACAUGCAAGAGCUCUCAAGGAGAAAAAGAAAGGCUUCUGCCAUGGCUGGCUGAAAACACAAGGGCUUGGCUGGAGAAACAGCCCCUGAAUUCUCUGAGUCACUGCUCACUUACAUCCUGCCCUGCUCCAGCACUUCCUCAUUCACACAGGAGCUCCUUGCAGCAGCAGCACGUCUGGAUCUCAGCACGUGCAGAGGGACACAGGGAGAUCCCACAGAGCCCUCCCUCCCUGUCAGGACAAAGCACCUGCCUCCUAUGGAAGCUGAGCAUCCCUGAACAGCCACCAAAGGUCCAGUCCAGGAGCUGGCACAUGCCCAUGACUGAGCUUUGGUUCAACAACAGGUCACAUCUGCUCACAUGUGUUCAAAACAGCACCUCAAUACCUUGAGGCAAAUCUUCACUUCAGAGCAAGGUGUGGUGCAGAGGUGUCUGUGCUAACAGGAGAUGGGGAAGUGCUGGAGCAUUGCAUGGGCAUGAACUCCACGUGCUGAAGGA
rnacentral:lncRNA from 1 species